AUGCCAAAUGCAUUUUUCUCUGUAAUCAAAGCAUAAUAUUAAAGGUUCAUCAUGCCUAUAAAUACUCAUUGUUCCUAUUAUAUAAGAGCUUUUUUCCAUCCUUAAGUAGGUACCAAGAGAUACCAAAUUUUAUAUAGAAACAGUGGUAUCUCUUGAUACCUACUCAAAAAUGAUAAAAUUACUAAUUAUAUAAAACCAAUUCAACUUGGCUCUUUGGAGACAGAAAAAGCAAAAUGAGUGUCAUGGUGGUGGAACAACUUUACAUUUGUUGGAAAGAAUGGAUCUCUUAGAGGUAUCUCAUGGUUUUAAUAGGUUCUGAUUGUUGCAGCUAUUCAAAGAACAGCACCAAUAAGCUUCCAGAUGUCUCUCAUGGCUAU
rnacentral:lncRNA from 1 species